rnacentral:rRNA from 1 species
CCUACGGGGUGCAGCAGUGGGGAAUAUUGGACAAUGGGCGCAAGCCUGAUCCAGCCAUGCCGCGUGUGUGAAGAAGGCCUUCGGGUUGUAAAGCACUUUUGUUGGGGAAGAAACCGACCGGAUUAAUACUUCGGUUGAAUGACGGUACCCAAAGAAUAAGCACCGGCUAACUUCGUGCCAGCAGCCGCGGUAAUACGAAGGGUGCAAGCGUUACUCGGAAUUACUGGGGGUGAUGCGUUAAUAGGCUCUUGAAAGCCCCGGGCUCAACCUGGGAAUGGCGAUGGAUACUGGCAAGCUAGAGUGUGUCAGAGGAUGGUGGAAUUCCCGGUGUAGCGGUGAAAUGCGUAGAGAUCGGGAGGAACACCAGUGGCGAAGGCGGCCAUCUGGGACAACACUGACGCUGAGGCACGAAAGCGUGGGGAGCAAACAGGAUUAGAUACCCUUGUAGUC